GGGCAUUGCCUGAAGCAGACAGCCAGAGGCAAUCUUUCAGGAAUGGAGUGAGGAAGAAAUGGGGAGGGAGAGCCAGCUGCCACAGUGUGAGCUGCCCUAUGGAGAGGCCUCUAUAGCAAGAAAGUGAGGCCUUCAGUCCAGCAACCCUCAAGCAACUGAAACCUGCCAACAACCACAUGAGUCAGCUUGGAAGUGGAUCCAUUACCCAUCAGGCUUUCAGAUGAGACCACAGCCCCGGCUGCCACCUUGAUUCCAACUUCAUGAGAGAUCCAGAGACAGAGAACCUAGCUAAUCUGUGACUAGAUUCCUGACUCACAGAAACUAUGAGAUAAUAAAUGUCUGUUGUUUUAAGCUGCUAAAUUCUAGGUAAUUUGUUACACAUCAAUACAUGGCUAAUACAAAGAUUUUUUUUUUCUGUGACAACUUUUUUUAUCAUAUGGAGAGGCAAAGGUGGCACAGACUCUACAAUCAGCCAA
rnacentral:lncRNA from 1 species